GGGGUUGUGGCUCAGUGUGGUGUAGAGCACUUGCCUAGCACACAUGAGGCACUGGUUUCAAUCCUCAGCACCA
rnacentral:tRNA from 1 species